rnacentral:lncRNA from 1 species
AUAAAGAAGGCACAUCAGCCUAAUUAACGAGACCUCGAUAGGUACCCUUCCUGGUCUCCUACUUUUCUUUCUUUUAUUCCCAUUUCCUUCUAGGUUCGCGGUCCCCCUCGCACCCACGAAUAACUGAAUCCCGCGGGACGGGAUACCUUUCCUACCAACCUCUUGAACAACGGAAGUACAGGACUGACGACCUUGAGCUUGUGGAGGUGAAGACUACAGCGGAAAAACCCAUAAAACAGUAAACUAUUCCUUCAGGAUUUUCUUGUUCUGCACAGGUAAGGCUCCUGCCUUGUCUUAAGCAUAACUGAUCUUCAGCUGAAGAGGAGGUCAUAGCUAGGCUUAGCUUUUCCUUAGCUUUCUCUUUGCCCAUU